AGCCAUGCAAGUCUAAGUACAUGCCGCACUAAGGUGAAACCGCAAAAGGCUCAUUAAAUCAGUUAUGGUUCCUUGGAUCUUAAACAGUUACUUGGAUAACUGUGGUAAUUCUAGAGCUAAUACAUGCAAUCAAGUCCCGGCCAGAGAUGGGAGGGACGCUUUUAUUAGAUCAAAACCGAUCGGCGUCCGGCUCCGGCCGGCGCCGUCUCUUUUGGUGACUCUGGAUAACCUUAAGCCGAUCGCACGGUCACAGUACCGGCGACGCAUCUUUCAAAUGUCUGACUUAUCAACUGUCGAUGGUAGGCUCUGCGCCUACCAUGGUUAUAACGGGUAACGGGGAAUCAGGGUUCGAUUCCGGAGAGGGAGCCUGAGAAACGGCUACCACAUCCAAGGAAGGCAGCAGGCGCGCAAAUUACCCACUCCCGGCACGGGGAGGUAGUGACGAAAAAUAACGAUACGGGACUCAUCCGAGGCCCCGUAAUCGGAAUGAGUACACUUUAAAUACUUUAACGAGUACCAAUUGGAGGGCAAGUCUGGUGCCAGCAGCCGCGGUAAUUCCAGCUCCAAUAGCGUAUAUUAAAGUUGUUGCGGUUAAAAAGCUCGUAGUUGGAUCUGUGUGCCACGCUGUCGGUUCACCGCCUGCGGUGUUAACUGGCAUGUCUGUGGGACGUCCUGCCGGUGGCGGUACGGGCUGCCGGCGCUGCGUAGGGGUUCGCCCCCGAAGCACGCCGGCGUGUCCCGGUCCGCCGAUCCAAUCCCGCCGCGGUGCUCUUCACUGAGUGUCGAGGAGGGCCGGCACGUUUACUUUGAACAAAUUAGAGUGCUCAAAUCAGGUCG
rnacentral:rRNA from 1 species